CGCCUCCCGCCUCCCUCCUCCCUCUCCAAGCCCAGGGAAAAAUAGUAUUCUCUGUGCGGCAGCUAGUCCCAGGAUACUUGGAGAACAGAGAAGAAAAGAAUGUCAAGGGGAGGAAACAAGGAGAGCCAAGAAAAGGGGCGCUGUGAAAACCGUUUUCAUUUCUCUUCCAUCCCUUCAAUGGCCUGGGAAAAGCCUGGAAGAUGCUUCUGUUAAGUGGAAACAACACAACAGUCCGUCUGUGGAUGAGUGGAUAAGCAAAGUGGGAUCUAUCCGUACAACGGAUUACUAUUCAGCCUUAAAAAUGAAGGAAAUUCUGACACAUGCUACAGCAUAGCUGUACCUGGAAGACAUCAUGGUAAGUGACAUAAGCCAGUCAGAAAAG